CGGAGUGCCCCAGGAUCCUCAUCCCUCCCCUGCCUGUCUCUAGCAGACCCCCAAGAUGACAGCAGAAAUGUCAUCUUGGAGGAGGCCGCCCCUCUGGAGCAGGUCCCCUCUAGAGGCAGAAGAGGUCUCGGUCUCGGCAGCAACUGCAUCACCCUGGAUCUGCCAAGGCCCAACCCCUUCACCAUGGAAACCCGACUCCCCGUUCGAGAUCACCGUGUCUUCAAGCGGUGAGCUCCGGGGAUGCCCCCCUUCAGUCGGUCCAGCGCGCCCCUAUGUGGGAGAGUGACCUCUCACCUUUGCACCCUGUGAGACCUGCUUGCUGUUGUCAGGUGUGAGGGACUCUCCCACUGGGCUCCACAGCAGAGGGGCUGCAGCAAGAGCACAGACCCAGCUAUUAUGGACUGUGAAGCCGACUGAAGAACUUAAAGGAGAGAAGUGUGUGUCUGAGGGGGUCGGGAGAAGGACAGCUCCUACCCCUUUCACUCACCAUCGGAAUGACACACACAAACUCAGACACAAGUUAAGGCGUUGGUGUGUGACGUCCUGAUAAGGGAUGGCAAGAGUGUGAGACAGUGGGGGUAAGGAGACGCCCAGGUAAUGGUCUCUAAUUGAUGAA